GAAAAGACAGCUCAGCUAUCCAGUCGGAAACGGAAGAAGGAGGGUUCGAUUCCCCCUGUCACCGUAGCGCCGAGCUACUGUCGUGUCUGGAGAAAGCUCACCAGGUGCUCUGGUUCUCUCCGAAUUGCCCACGUGAUCCCAUCAAAAGAAUGAUGAUCAGAAAGAUCCUUCUGCAUCAGGACUUCUGUGACAGCAGGGCAGCACUUGGCAUGUCUGGCAAACUCCUUGGAACGUUGUUUAGGAGUGCCUGAGAUGGGGUGACUUCAGGACUGUUAUUGUGCUGUCUAGCCUGGGUUUGCAGGAGGAAUGCCCUAAAAUACAAACUGACUGGAAUUUUUCUGCAUAUGUUUUUGUCUGAUACAUAUUUCUGUCACCAGUAGGUGGCUUUCUACCCAUCUGCAUGCGCUGUUACUAUCUCAGACCCCAGCACGCAAGCAUUCUGUUUGAAAUGGCCUCGAAGCAGAAAGUCUGAGGAAUAACUACAGUCCUUUAAUCUCCUGGACCACCUGAACAAAGAGGUUUCAGUUUACCAAAAGCACAGUGAAUACUGAGAGAUAGUAAUGUUCC
rnacentral:lncRNA from 1 species